UACAGAGGGUGCAAGCGUUAAUCGGAAUUACUGGGCGUAAAGCGCACGUAGGCGGUUAGUUAAGUUGGAUGUGAAAGCCCCGGGCUCAACCUGGGAAUUGCAUUUGAAACUGGCCAACUAGAGUAUGUGAGAGGGGGGUAGAAUUCCAAGUGUAGCGGUGAAAUGCGUAGAGAUUUGGAGGAAUACCAGUGGCGAAGGCGGCCCCCUGGCACAAUACUGACGCUCAGGUGCGAAAGCGUGGGGAGCAAACAGG
rnacentral:rRNA from 1 species